rnacentral:lncRNA from 1 species
UCUCUCUCUCUCUCUCUCUCUCUCUCUCUCUCUUUAUAUGUAAAUGAUUAGAGUGAUCUACUCUUGUAAACCCAAUAUGUCCAACAUCAUGGGAUCCAUCAAUAAAAAAUUAUAGGCUUGUAGAGUAUUAACUCCAAUUUUCUUCCAUCUUAUCGAGGACCAUCAUCUAUACUAAUAUAUAGUAGUGUGUGAUGUGACCUUAACAUAUGUGCCUUGUCAAGACCUGUUAG